rnacentral:lncRNA from 1 species
UGAUUUGGUACUCACAUAAUUCAAUAGCCCAUUUUUCUAACCUUUCUUGAUAAUUAAUGCUUAUGUAAAAUGCUACGUAAUGGGAAUGCAGUUACUACAACAAUAUGAUGACAUUGAAAAUAAGGUCUUAAUUUUCUAGAUGCCAUGAGUAAAGCAAGUACUAGUUUUUCUAAAUGUGGAUACCGUGUUUCUGCAUCUAUCAAAUAUUUACUAACAUAAUAUACAGGGAAUUGCUUACCGUGGUUUUCCCAAACUAGAACAACACUUACCGUAACUUCUGAUACAGCUAGAUAGAUAAGCAAUUUUCUCUUGCCUUUGGCUUUGCCAACAAUGGUGG